CCAGUGUCAGGUAAGCCUAAGACAUCUGCUUGUCCAAAGUAGCCAUGAACAGAGAAGACAACGACAUUGUAUAUGACGGGAAGCCUACUGAAAAACGCUUCCAUGUUUGCCGGAUCAGGUUUCCCACCAAGGACCGAAGUCAUAAAUUUAGAGGCGUAGCCAAGCCCAUUUCCAAUUGAAGACGAUAGAGUCAGUUUUGGAGUGCCAAUAUCAAAUACUCCAAAAUCUAUCUCUAGAGAAUUUUCAUCAUUUGCCCUGUGGAAAAUAAAAACAUCAUUUUUCCAAGCUCUGGGAAAAAUCCUCUACAAAUUAAGACUUAAGUUCUAUCAGAAAGGCUGUCUGCUUCCACCUUCACAUAGUCCCAAAUACCAGGAUUAUGCCUUACUGCAAAGGCAACAUAUGGUGGCACGACUGCUGCUUCCUGCAUAUUAAUGUUGUAGAUGAAUGCUUAGUACUUGUAAGCAG